UACAGAGGUCCCAAGCGUUGUUCGGAUUCACUGGGCGUAAAGGGUGCGUAGGCGGUCGGGUAAGUCUGUCGUGAAAUCUCCGAGCCCAACUCGGAAACUGCGUCGGAUACUAUUCGGCUAGAGGAAUGGAGGGGAGACUGGAAUUCUCGGUGUAGCAGUGAAAUGCGUAGAUAUCGAGAGGAACACCAGUGGCGAAGGCGAGUCUCUGGGCAACAUCUGACGCUGAGGCACGAAAGCCAGGGGAGCAAACGGG
rnacentral:rRNA from 1 species